GUAUAAGGUAGCAGUUAAUGAAGCGGCCUCUGGAGCCAGCUGCCCAGGAUCCAAAUCCCACCUCUCACCACCAGUGGAGCCCGAGACAAGUCAUCUCCUCCAUCUGAUGGAAGUAACAAUAGCCCGUCACUCUUAGGGUUCUUGUAAGGAUAAAGCAAGUUGGUUUUCAUAAAGCAUUUAUUUACAGCAGUACUUGCACAAAGUAAGUACUAUGUAAGUACAAGCCAUUUUUAUCACCAUAAGCAAAGAUUUUUUCCAUUGGUUUAUUUGACAAACUCCUGGCGAACACUUUUCUCUUUGGAAAUCAUUUAGGAGGCGCUCUGUCCAGCCUUCCUCUAUGCUUGAUGUCUAGCGUUCACCGCAUUUGGUGCACAUUCCAACCUUCUCUGCUGGCUUCACUUGCUUUCCCUACUACUCUCAUCCAGUUCACCAGCAGGAAGAUUUCCCUGUCUCUGGAAAUCUUGUUUAUUUCCCUUCGUAGUGUAUACUUUCCUCAAUUUUCAGUAAUAUAUUUUUAAAGUUUUAGCUUUAUCAAUGCCUAUCUUCAUUCAUACUCUUAUUCUAAACAGACUAGAUGAUACCAUUUUCUCCCAAUUCAGACCCCUGAAAUGUCCCUUGUCCUGUUGUUCUUUUUUCCCAGCUCCUAGACUUUCCCUUUGGAAGUGGCCUGGGUGGUUAUGGGUCCCUGCUCUGAGUACCUGAUGUUCUCAGGGGUCCAGUGGAGUUCCCUGGGAGGAGAGGGCCAGAGAGAGAUCUGGGAAGGUAUUAUAAAGACCAAUGCGCUUUAUCGACAGUAUCACACAGGGCUGAGGCAGAGAGCCCAAAGGCCAGGGCCACAGGGAAGGCCAGGUAUCAGACUCACAUUGAGCCAGAGGCUGAGUGUUCCUCCUGCUCCUUCUGAUGGUUCCAUGGAGCUACAACCCAGAGCAGGGGGAAGGAGUCCCACGCCUAGACUUGCUCUGUCUGAAACCCAGGCCUUCUCCCAGGAGACUGGGGCGGCCACCAGCAGAAUGGGAAAUGAGGUGGUCCCAGUGAAAGUGGGCCCUGGACCCUGACUCCAAUUUCUUGCCAAAUCCUGCCUAAACUUUUAACUGAUGAGAUGAGUUUGGUUAAGUCAUGCUCUCCUCCAAGUGUCAGUUUCCUUUAACAAGGGCAUUGGGCUAGUUUAGCAAUUUUCCAGCUCUUCCUCCCACUGAAUAGUAAGCUAGAUCAAGAUGUUGUGCAGCUAAAAUCAAAGUUGUUUCCCUUGUAAUACAAUCAAAACCAAUAAUAAUCACGAAUGCAUAGUAUUUUCACAAUGUAAGCCCCCCCAUAAACAGCUCUGAAUUAGUGGUGCCUGCUACCCUUGCUAUCUGAGCAGAGUACAGAUGGAGUCUGAUUCUGAAACAACUCAGACCGAAUACAUUUACUGUGAAGCCGCAUGUGCACUAUUCUAUAACAGAAUGUGGCUCUCAGAUAUUUUUCCACCUGAAGAAUCAUGAGAAAUGCAGGCAGGACUGGGUGCACACGGACAACUUUUGCAGUGUUGAGUCUGAUUCCUUUUGGGGUCUUUGGGGAAAAAACAGGUGUCAGUAGUGGGGGGCAUCUUCUGGGGGUUUGGUAAGGUCAGCCGUACCUCCCUAUCGCCACCUCCAAUGCCCGUGUUCCCCCAAAUCAAGCCGUCACCCCAAGGCCCCUCCUGGAGUCCCCUUGGGUGAAUCCCCUCUUCACAGGCCCCACAUACCUAUGGCAAGGAACUCACCCUGGGGUGAGUGGCCUGAAGCUCCCAUCUCCUGGCCUGGGCUGGCUACAGAGGAGAAGUAAAGUCUGAAGUGAGGUGGCCCAGGGCCCUACCUCACGGGCUCCAUUUCACUUCUGGGUGAUGGAGUGAGAACAGGAAGGGGAUCGGCCCCAUGGUACUCCACCACCAUGUGCCCUGACUAGCCCUCCUACACCUACAUCCUCUACCUCCUGAAGCUCCGACUGAGCACUAGCACCUGCUUUUGCAUCUGCACAGCAGUCUUAUGACUAUAUCGGGGCAGCUGAAAGCCCAGCUCCUCCAUGCCACCCUGCCAGGUGGAGAAGAUGUGGCUCCUGUAGGUGAGAAAGAGGGAGGGCCUGCUGCUCCAGACUUCUGGGGCACCGUGGGUGAGGAAGAACGAGGUUGUUGGGGGCAAGGUAGGAAAGCCUGCUGUCCUUGGUGGGAGGUAAGGCACUGGCAGGGUGAGGAGUGACAGAGUGUGACAGGACUCCUCUGCCACCUGGAGAUAAUCCAGUGCUGCCAUACGGACGGCUGGAGACACAGCUCCCCCUUGACCAGCUCCUUAGAUUCAGGCCCCGGGCUUCACGAAAGCUACAGCCCAGGGUCACCAUCUGCAGCCCUUCGGGGAGACUGGCUUUGUGUGUUCUCCACUGCCCAGGCCCUGUGUUCCACCCUCCUGUGGCUGCCCAGCAGAUGGGUUCCCAGCCAGCGGAUCCAGAGAUGCGGAAGGUGCCCACCAUGCCAGAGCUGCUGCCCACCCGUGAGAGGGUUACAAUGGCAGAGAUGAAGGGGGGACUGCAGGGUCAGCCCGGUGUCCCUGGGCCAGCGGGGUGGGUAUGGGGAGUCGUGACCUUCGCUAUCUUGGAUUUGCUCAUCCUUGGAGUGUCCCAGGCAGACGAGGGGUGGGGGUGGUUUGUGUACAUGGGGGCCCCAUGGUGCCCACUCGCCUGCGACAGAACAGCACAGAUUAGCAGCACGGUGAGAUGGGAGGAGGGGGAUUGUGGGCUGGUGUGGACCCGGGGUGGCUGGGGAGGGCCACGCCCCCAGGCUCCGGACGUGUGGACCCAGUGUGGAGGAAGGGUGGGCGUCUCUGUCCCUGAGGAACGGUGCAUUUCUCCUGCCUGCCUUCCCAGGGCACCAGCAGCAGCCACGUCAGAGUGCAGGGGCCUCCCUGGGCAAGGCCCUGCCUCCAGUCUCUGCCCUCUGGCCCCACUUGAGUUUCUUUGUCAAACAAACUCCUCUCCUCAUGACUGACAUCUCAAGGGACUGGGGGCUGCCAGUGGCCUGCAGGAAAGGGGGACCUGGUACUAGGCCAGGUGGAGAAAGGAGAUGGCAGAGGAGGAGCUGAGCUCCAGGAGGGAUGGGAGGAGCUUCCGGCCACUACCAGCCCCAGAGCUGGGCCCUGGGCCCUGGAGGAGCAGCCCCACCCAGGUGCCGCUGCAGACCAUGCUAGUUAGGAGAUCUCAUUGCCAAACACCUCGAGCACAAGGGGUGUGAGCUUCAUGCUGUUCUCCGGCUGGAGGGAGAGGGUUCGGUACUGCUUGGAGUACUCGUCAUUGAGGCUGCGCCGUCAGCCAGCUUCUGGAUCAUCUUGGCGUAGAGCUGGUGGCUGCCGGGGGCAGGUGGCGGCAGUGGAUGUAGGCCUGCAGCGUGUUGGACAGUCGGUCCUGGAUGGCCUCGACCAGCUUGGGAUCCUGCACCCCAGGUCGGUCUGAGACACAGGAGUUGGGAAAAUACACAGGGGCUCUGAGCUGGGUCCCUUGCUGCUCAGUGCCGAUACUCCCACCCACCUGGAUAAGCCAGCUCAGCACCCCAGGGCACCCUUACGACUGCUGCCCUGUGAUGUCACCAUCAUGACUAAAUCCCCCAGUUACUUCCCACUGCAUUUAUGAUCAAGUCCUUUUGUGGGCAUCUGGUCCUGUCCCACCUCCUCUCACUCCUGCCUGUGCUCUGUCCUUGCACCAGUGCCCCGAUGUACCCUCGAGGGUGUCACUUCUCCGUUACCUCUCCUGGGACUCAGCUCUUCUUUGCCUGACUGACUAAUCCUUUGGGUAGCUGAUUAAAAGGCCUUCUUCAAGCCAGCGUGGUGGCAAAUACUUACAAUCUCAGCACCCUGAGACGCUGAGGCAAGAAGAUUGCAAGUUCAAGCCCACCCUGGGCAACUUAGUGAGUGACUUAGUGAGACAUUGGCUCAAAAAUUUUUUUUAAAGGAUUAGGAUGUAGCUCAGUGCAAAGGCCCUAGGUUCAAUACUCAGGACUAAAAAAUUUAAAAAACCAUUCUUGAAGAAGGCUAUUCUUGACAAUCCUCUACCUCCUUGCCCCAGACUUUAUUAGCUCCCUGCAGCUGUUCUACCUUUUCAUAGCAUCACAUACAGUUUUAUUUUGAAAGCUCUCAUCAUAUUAGCAUUAGUUGUUAAAUGGCAUUUGUUUAAUGUUUCCUCCUAAGCUUCAUGAGAAGAAGUCUCGCCAUUUGCUUCUGACUCCCUGUGCCGAGCACAGUGCCUGGUACCUAGCAGGUGCUCUGGAAGUCACUGCAGAGUCCAUAAAUGAAUAAGGGAGCUGAUGCUGGCUCCGAGUGGGUCCAGAGAGCAUACAUCUAUUCCUCGGGCCCUCGGUCCAGGAAAGCAUCCUUAAACAGGGACCACUAGCUUGUUCCCUGAACGUGGUCCACGCUGAGGUAAGGCUGCCCCUUCGGGCUUCAUCACCACCAAGAUAACAUCACCAAGGCUACCGUAGCUUCUUUCUCAGCCUAUUCUCCAUUUCCCACCUCUAACAAGCAGAAAAGGUCAGGAGUCCAAGCACAUGGCUUCCAGAAUCAAUCAAAUUGUCCAGGCAGAACCACUCAUCAUUCCCCAGGGUUUUGUUCCCCGCCUCCAAGGAACCUCAAGUGACAGGAAUGUCGAGCUCAGUUUGUGCAGCAGCACAGCCUGAGUGUUAGGAACACCCAGGCCUGUCAGUGACCUAGGGGAACUCUGCUGGUGGUCUGGGGGACCCUGUUUAUCUGGUUCCACAGAAUCCUGUGCAUCACUUGUGAUCUCUGUAAGGCACAGCCAAGGGCAGUGAGGGACUCAACAUACACACAGUGUAUGGGUCACGCAAAUGCAGCAAAGUGAGUGUCUCCUCACUCGCCUCUCCUUUUCCUCUCUGUUCCCUUGAGAUACCCUGCUGGCCCUCAGGAGGCCUUUGUUCUUCAUGCUCUCCACUUUCCUGAGGGCCCUGAGUUCCUCACUGCUGGGCUUCAUACCUGGGGAGACAAUGCAGAUAGCCAUGAGCAGGACGUGUUCCUCCUCAUGCAAGUUCAGCUUCUUCAGCGCCAUCUGGAACUUGAUGAGGGGCUCAAUCAGCUCAGCGUGUGUCCAGCUAUGAGAGAGAGAAUGGCCAGGUGCCAUGGGAAGAACUGAGGAGCCAUCCACCCCACCUCCAGCCCCUGCUGGCC
ensembl:lncRNA